rnacentral:rRNA from 1 species
GAUGAACGCUGGCGGCGUGCCUAACACAUGCAAGUCGAACGGAGUCGUUUUGGAAAUCUCUUCGGAGAUGGAAUUCUCGACUUAGUGGCGGACGGGUGAGUAACGCGUGAGCAAUCUGCCUUUAAGAGGGGGAUAACAGUCGGAAACGGCUGCUAAUACCGCAUAAAGCAUUAAAUUCGCAUGUUUUUGAUGCCAAAGGAGCAAUCCGCUUUUAGAUGAGCUCGCGUCUGAUUAGCUAGUUGGCGGGGUAACGGCCCACCAAGGCGACGAUCAGUAGCCGGACUGAGAGGUUGAACGGCCACAUUGGGACUGAGACACGGCCCAGACUCCUACGGGAGGCAGCAGUGGGGAAUAUUGCGCAAUGGGGGAAACCCUGACGCAGCAACGCCGCGUGAUGGAAGAAGGCCUUCGGGGUGUAAAGAUCUUUAAUCAGGGACGAAACAAAUGACGGUACCUGAAGAAUAAGCUCCGGCUAACUACGUG